rnacentral:rRNA from 1 species
CAGUCGCCGCGGUAAUACGAAGGGUGCAAGCGUUAAUCGGAAUUACUGGGCGUAAAGCGUGCGUAGGCGGUUUGUUAAGUCUGUUGUGAAAUCCCCGGGCUCAACCUGGGAAUGGCAAUGGAUACUGGCAGGCUAGAGUGUGAUAGAGGAUGGUGGAAUUCCCGGUGUAGCGGUGAAAUGCGUAGAGAUCGGGAGGAACAUCAGUGGCGAAGGCGGCCAUCUGGAUCAACACUGACGCUGAGGCACGAAAGCGUGGGGAGCAAACAGGAUUAGAUACCCCUGUAGUCCCUGUCUCUUAUAA